UACGUAGGGUCCGAGCGUUGUCCGGAGUUAUUGGGCGUAAAGAGCUCGUAGGCGGCUCAGUAAGUCAGAUGUGAAAACUCAGGGCUCAACCCGGAGACGCCAUCUGAUACUGCUGUGGCUUGAGUCUGGUAGGGGAUCACGGAAUUCCUGGUGUAGCGGUGAAAUGCGCAGAUAUCAGGAGGAACACCGAUGGCGAAGGCAGUGAUCUGGGCCAGUACUGACGCUGAGGAGCGAAAGCGUGGGUAGCAAACAGG
rnacentral:rRNA from 1 species